GCAAGUCGAACGAUGAAACUCAGCUGAUUUCUUCGGAAUGAAUUUGAGCGGAUUAGUGGCGAACGGGUGAGUAACACGUGAGUAACCUGCCUUACACAAGGGGAUAGCCUUUGGAAACGAAGAAUAAUACCCUAUAAAGUUAGUCAAUCGCAUGGUAGACUAACCAAAGAUUUAUCGGUGUAAGAUGGACUUGCGUCUGAUUAGCUAGUUGGUGAGAUAAAAGCCCACCAAGGCGACGAUCAGUAGCCGGCUUGAGAGAGUGUAC
rnacentral:rRNA from 1 species